rnacentral:rRNA from 1 species
ACCGCCUCAGUUCGGAUUGUAGUCUGCAACCCGACUACAUGAAGCCGGAAUCGCUAGUAAUCGCGAAUCAGAAUGUCGCGGUGAAUACGUUCCCGGGUCUUGUACACACCGCCCGUCACACCAUGGGAGCCGGAAAUGCCCGAAGUCAGUGGCCCAACCUCCAAAGGAGGGAGCUGCCGAAGGUGGAGCUGGUAACUGGGGUGAAGUCGUAACAAGGUACC